GAGACAGCAGUCGCCGCGGGAAUACGUAGGUGGCGAGCGUUGUCCGGAUUUAUUGGGCGUAAAGGGAGUGUAGGCGGUCUUUUAAGUCUGAUGUGAAAGCCCCCGGCUUAACCGGGGAGGGUCAUUGGAAACUGGGAGACUUAGAGUGCAGAAGAGGAGAGCGGAAUUCCACGUGUAGCGGUGAAAUGCGUAGAGAUGUGGAGGAACACCAGUGGCGAAGGCGACUCUCUGGUCUGUAACUGACGCUGAGGAGCGAAAGCGUGGGGAGCGAACAGGAUUAGAGACCCCAGUAGUCCCUGUCUCUUAUA
rnacentral:rRNA from 1 species